rnacentral:rRNA from 1 species
UACGGAGGGUGCAAGCGUUAAUCGGAAUUACUGGGCGUAAAGCGCGCGUAGGCGGCUUGGUCAGUUGGGUGUGAAAGCCCCGGGCUCAACCUGGGAACUGCAUUCAAUACUGCCAGGCUAGAGUACGAGAGAGGGUAGUGGAAUUCCACGUGUAGCGGUGAAAUGCGUAGAUAUGUGGAGGAACAUCAGUGGCGAAGGCGACUGCCUGGCUCGAUACUGACGCUGAGGUGCGAAAGCGUGGGUAGCAAACAGG